rnacentral:tRNA from 1 species
GUUUAUGUAGCUUAAAUCCGCCCAAAGCAAGACACUGAAAAUGCCUAGAUGGGUCCACACACCCCAUAAAC